GGGUUUGGAUAAUCGCCCACCUGGUGGUUUCCUCAGCUAUUUCAAUCACCCAUGGAGUCAGUCACUUCCCCAGCCGACCCCACCACAUUUAUUUGAUGGAAAUAGAGGGAAAGGGAGCCCAACAAUGUUAGCUUCUGAAUCUCAUCGGCGACGCCGGCCCUUGAUUAAUUUAGACAAUGAUGAGGAUAAUGCAAAUGGUGCUAGUAGGACUGACAUACGGCUAAAAUAUACGAAGCCAGAGGAAGUGCGCUUGGUGAGUUGCAUUAUAUGUAUUUACAGAUGGAUGAUGUCCUACAGCAGCUUACAAAACUUCAGGGCACAAAUGAAAGUCGAGAAAAGAUGUUGGAAACCCAGAAACAUGUUUCAAGAGAGAAGCUUGAAUCAUCUAGACUUAAUCACCUCGCUGCCAAAGAAAAUGCUAAAUCGGCUAUGCUGGAGACUUACAGAGCACUAAGUAUGAAAGAUACAAGUGCAAUGCCUGAUGAUGUCAGAGCUGAGCACUUGGCAUUUAUGAAAUGUGUAAGAGAGAGCUUAUUUGGCAAAUCUGAAUCAGAUGCAAAUGGUUGCUCUUAAAGAGAAUCAGUGAUGAUUCUGAUGAACUAGAUCCAGCCAAUUUUAUGGGAAGAGUAUAUUGCCCAACAAAAUAUCCUAGGAUCCAUUGCUAAACAGCUGCUAGACACCUACAACUCAGGACCUUCUCAUCGCCUAAGUGGUCCAAGGAAGUGUAUCCAAAGGGACCAUGAAGGUGCUCACCAACGUCUUGUAACUGACUACUUUGCUGAAAAUCCCCUCUACCCUGAAAGAAUGUUCCGUACUAGAUUUAGGAUGACAAAGCAUCUCUUCUUGCGCAUCGUCAAUGCCCUGAGUGAAUGGUCUCCAUACUUCACUCUGAGGGCAGAUUGUGCAAAUCGCCAAGGGCUCUCGCCUCUGCAGAAGUGCACAUCGGCAAUUCGCAUGCUUGCAUAUGGCACACCUGCUGAUGCCCUUGAUGAGUACCUGAAGAUUGGGAAGAGCACUGCAUUGGAGUGCUUAGACAAGUUUGCACAAGGUGUGAUUGAGGUGUUCUCAGGGGAGUAUAUGCGUGCUCCCAGAGUUGAAGAUGUGCAGCGUCUACUUCAAGUCAAUGAGUCUCGUGGCUUUCCAGGCAUGUUGGGAAGCAUCGAUUGCAUGCAUUGGAGGUGGGAAAAUUGUCCUGUGGCUUGGAAGGGGCAAUUUACCCGUGGCGACUAUGGAGUCCCAACGAUUAUCCUGGAAGCAGUUGCUGAUAAGGAUCUCAGGAUAUGGCAUGCUUUCUUUGGUGUGCCUGGUUCUAAUAAUGACAUCAAUGUGCUGAAUCAGUCCCCAUUAUUCAUUGAAGCAUUGAAAGGUCAAGCACCUCAAGUUCAGUUUUCUGUUAAUGGGAGGCAGUAUAACACAGGCUACUAUCUUGCUGAUGGAAUAUACCCAGAAUGGGCAGCCUUUGUGAAGUCAAUAAAAGCACCUCAGAUGGAGAAGCACCUCAACUGAAAAAAGACUUAAUUGAGCAUAUUUGGCAAAAGUUUGCCAAUAGGAGAAAUAACUAGUUGUGUGUGCAAUAUCCUCUUUCUUUAAAAUGUUCCUGUUGGGGGUUCUUCCUGAAUGCUAGAUAUGGCUAAAUAAAUUGAGACUCUGGAUGCUAGAUAUAUUUCCAAGUCAUUAGUGUAAUAGUUAGUUGCUCAUGGUAGUAGCCUUAAGCUUUUAAAUUUGUGUGCCCCCUUUGGUCUAUCUUAUGCUGUGAACUUGAUGUAACAGCCAUUAUAUUUUACCAAGGAACAAUAUUAAUGCUUAUUGCUUCAGUCGAUAAUAUGUUUGAUUUA